GGAGGUGUGGCGCAAUGGCUAGCGCAGGGGAUUGUCUAUCCUCAGGUUGUGGGUUCGAAUCCCAUCAUCUUCG
rnacentral:tRNA from 1 species